GAUGAAGAACGUAGCGAAAUGCGAUAAGUAAUGUGAAUUGCAGAAUUCAGUGAAUCAUCGAAUCUUUGAACGCACAUUGCGCCCGCCAGUAUUCUGGCGGGCAUGCCUGUUCGAGCGUCAUUACAACCCUCAGGCCCCCGGGCCUGGCGUUGGGGAUCGGCGGAAGCCCCCUGCGGGCACAACGCCGUCCCCCAAAUACAGUGGCGGUCCCGCCGCAGCUUCCAUUGCGUAGUAGCUAACACCUCGCAACUGGAGAGCGGCGCGGCCACGCCGUAAAACACCCAACUUCUGAAUGUUGACCUCGAAUCAGGUAGGAAUACCCGCUGAACUUAAGCAUAUCAAUAAGCGGAUGA
rnacentral:misc_RNA from 1 species